rnacentral:rRNA from 1 species
UGGCGACAUAUAUUUUAAUUAGAGGAGCCUGUCCCUUAAUCGUUAACCCACGAUAUUAUUCACUUAUAUCAAAAACUUAUAUACCGCCAUAAAAGACUUUUUUUUAAAUUACAAUUCAUAAUAAUAUUAUAAAAAAAUAGGUCAAGGUGUAAUUUAAAUUUAAGAGAGGAUGUUUUACAUUAAAAAUCAUUUAAGAAUAUGUAAAUUUAAAUUAAUUUUGAAAAAGAAUUUAAUAUUAAAUUUAUAAUUUAUUUUAUAUUGAAAUAAAUUAAAUAUCUGUACAUAUUGCCCGUCACCCUUAACU